CUGUGAUACUCAAACUGUGUGACACUUUGUUUCUUUUGGAAGAAGUGCCGCAAAGUUUGCAGUGUUACCGAU
ensembl:miRNA Mir293 microRNA 293